GACCGACAAAGGCAAACUCCGGCGAAAGCCGGAGGACGCAAAGCCUCCGCCGGACUUCAGGCGGAGCCCGCCGGACAUGCGGCGGGCCCCCAGAGGAAAGGUGGGACUCCAACAAAGGUUGGGGUACAGGACUAAAUCCGCCAUGCUUCAGGCGGACAAGUUGGCUGGGUUGCCGAA
rnacentral:ncRNA from 1 species